rnacentral:rRNA from 1 species
GACGAACGCUGGCGGCGUGCCUAAUACAUGCAAGUAGAACGCUGAAGGAGGAGCUUGCUUCUCUGGAUGAGUUGCGAACGGGUGAGUAACGCGUAUGUAACCUGCCUGGUAGCGGGGGAUAACUAUUGGAAACGAUAGCUAAUACCGCAUCAGAGUAGAUGUUGCAUGACAUUUGCUUAAAAUGUGCAAUUGCAUCACUACCAGAUGGACCUGCGUUGUAUUAUCUAGUUGGUGGGGUAACGGCUCACCAAGGCGACGAUACAUAGCCGACCUGAGAGGGUGAUCGGCCACACUGGGACUGAGACACGGCUCAGACUCCUACGGGAGGCAGCAGUAGGGAAUCUUCGGCAAUGGACGGAAGUCUGACCGAGCAACGCCGCGUGAGUGAAGAAGGUUUUCGGAUCGUAAAGCUCUGUUGUAAGAGAAGAACGAGUGUGAGAGUGGAAAGUUCACACUGUGACGGUAUCUUACCAGAAAGGGACGGCUAACUACGUG